rnacentral:misc_RNA from 1 species
GAUGAAGAACGUAGCGAAAUGCGAUAAGUAAUGUGAAUUGCAGAAUUCAGUGAAUCAUCGAAUCUUUGAACGCACCUUGCGCUCCUUGGUAUUCCGAGGAGCAUGCCUGUUUGAGUGUCAUUAAUUUCUCAACCUCACCAGCUUUUGCUGAGUGCAGGCUUGGAUGUGGGGGUUGCAGGUCCGCUAACGUGGUCUGCUCCUCUGAAAUGUAUUAGUGGGUUGGGCCCCUAAUCUAUUGGUGUGAUAAUUAUCUACGCCGUGGAUUUGGGUGGCUGACUUUGACCCGCUUCUAACCGUCCUUCACCGGACAACUCUUGACAAUUUUGACCUCAAAUCAGGUAAGACUACCCGCUGAACUUAAGCAUAUCAAUAAGCGGAGGA